rnacentral:rRNA from 1 species
UGGGGAAUAUUGCACAAUGGAGGGAACUCUGAUGCAGCGACGCCGCGUGAACGAAGAAGGCUUUCGAGUCGUAAAGUUCUUUUAUAUGGGAAGAUAAUGACGGUACCAUAAGAAAAAGCUCCGGCUAACUACGUGCCAGCAGCCGCGGUAAUACGUAGGGGGGUAGCGUUGUCCGGAAUCACUGGGCGUAAAGGUUUCGCAGGCGGAAAUGCAGGUCAGGUGUAAAAGGCAGUAGCUUAACUACUGUAAGCAUUUGAAACUGCAUAUCUUGAGAAGAGUAGUGGUAAGUGGAAUUUUUAGUGUAGCGGUGAAAUGCGUAGAUAUUAAAAAGAAUGCCGGUGGCGAAGGCGGCUUACUGGGCUCAUUCUGACGCUGAGGAACGAAAGCGUGGGUAGCAAACAGG